rnacentral:rRNA from 1 species
UUGAACGCUGGCGGCAGGCCUAACACAUGCAAGUCGAACGGUAACAGGAAACAGCUUGCUGUUUCGCUGACGAGUGGCGGACGGGUGAGUAAUGUCUGGGAAACUGCCUGAUGGAGGGGGAUAACUACUGGAAACGGUAGCUAAUACCGCAUAACGUCGCAAGACCAAAGAGGGGGACCUUCGGGCCUCUUGCCAUCGGGUGUGCCCAGAUGGGAUUAGCUAGUAGGUGGGGUAACGGCUCACCUAGGCGACGAUCCCUAGCUGGUCUGAGAGGAUGACCAGCCACACUGGAACUGAGACACGGUCCAGACUCCUACGGGAGGCAGCAGUGGGGAAUAUUGCACAAUGGGCGCAAGCCUGAUGCAGCCAUGCCGCGUGUAUGAAGAAGGCCUUCGGGUUGUAAAGUACUUUCAGCGGGGAGGAAGGGAGUAAAGUUAAUACCUUUACUCAUUGACGUUACCCGCAGAAGAAGCACCGGCUAACUCCGUG